GGAGCACUGAAAUCACAAUGUAAUCCUAAUGUGAGAGGGAAAAAACAACAAAACGACUAAUUAUUAAUGCUUAGACGAAUGCUUAAUCAGACAUAUUAAUAAUUUUAUUAGCUGCAGCUGCGUUUAACCAAUUGUAGGAUUAAAAGGGGGAGCGGUUAAUGGAACGCAGAGCAGGAGAUGCACAGAGGAGGAGUGACAAGGGCAGACUGCUGCUGCCGACGGGUGCCAGAGACUUCCUGCACCUGCCUAAAAAUGUGCCAUUACAAGGAGAGCUUUUCUGAGACGUUGUCCAGCUGUCAAAAGAUGGAAGGUCAGAGGUCGUUCUCAGCGACAGCAGAUGAUGGGCUGUUGGAGAGAAGCAGCACACACCUGCAUGACAAUUACCAGCCAGACUUCCAUACAUCUGCAGACCUGAAGAGUGUGUCUGACUGGCCUAGAUUCACAGUCCGUCUUCUGGGGUUUAUGAAUGGGUUUACUUCCAUGCUAGACAGAGAUGCGACGGUAAAACAGUAAGACAGAUGCACAGGUACCCGUUCUUUGCAUUUUUAAAUCAUAGAAGCAUCAUUAAAGAAUUUCUAGAUGACUGAAUCGCACUAACCCAGAUCAAUGCCGGGGUGAAGUUCAACAGAGACGGAA